UCAGGUCUGGGACAACCACUGGAAACGGUGGCUAAUACCGGAUGUGCCGAGAGGUGAAAGGUUAACUGCCUGAAGAUGAGCUCGCGUCUGAUUAGCUAGUAGGUAGUGUAAAGGACUACCUAGGCGACGAUCAGUAGCUGGUCUGAGAGGACGAUCAGCCACACUGGGACUGAGACACGGCCCAGACUCCUACGGGAGGCAGCAGUGGGGAAUUUUCCGCAAUGGGCGAAAGCCUGACGGAGCAAUACCGCGUGAGGGAGGAAGGCUCUUGGGUCGUAAACCUCUUUUCUCAGGGAAGAACACAAUGACGGUACCUGAGGAAUAAGCAUCGGCUAACUCCGUGCCAGCAGCCGCGGUAAUACGGAGGAUGCAAGCGUUAUCCGGAAUGAUUGGGCGUAAAGCGUCCGCAGGUGGCUAUGUAAGUCUGCUGUUAAAGAGUCUAGCUCAACUAGAUAAGAGCAGUGGAAACUACAUGGCUAGAGUGCGUUCGGGGCAGAGGGAAUUCCUGGUGUAGCGGUGAAAUGCGUAGAGAUCAGGAAGAACACCGGUGGCGAAGGCGCUCUGCUAGGCCGCAACUGA
rnacentral:rRNA from 1 species